GUCCCUUCAGGGAUAUCCGAUAAAAUUGAAAUGAUACUAAGAAGAUCAGCAUGGCCCUUGCACGACAAGCACAAAUCAAGAAAUGUCUGAAUUUCUA
rnacentral:snRNA from 1 species